AGAGUUUGAUCCUGGCUCAGGACGAACGCUGGCGGCGCGCCUAACACAUGCAAGUCGAACGGAGCUUAGAGAGCUUGCUUUUUAAGCUUAGUGGCGAACGGGUGAGUAACGCGUGAGUAACCUGCCCUAGAGUGGGGGACAACAGUUGGAAACGACUGCUAAUACCGCAUAAGCCCACGGUACCGCAUGGUACUGAGGGAAAAGGAUUUAUUCGCUUUAGGAUGGACUCGCGUCCAAUUAGCUAGUUGGUGAGGUAACGGCCCACCAAGGCGACGAUUGGUAGCCGGACUGAGAGGUUGAACGGCCACAUUGGGACUGAGACACGGCCCAGACUCCUACGGGAGGCAGCAGUGAGGAAUAUUGGUCAAUGGACGAGAGUCUGAACCAGCCAAGUAGCGUGAAGGAUGACUGCCCUAUGGGUUGUAAACUUCUUUUAUACGGGAAUAAAGUUAGCCACGUGUGGCUUUUUGUAUGUACCGUAUGAAUAAGGAUCGGCUAACUCCGUGCCAGCAGCCGCGGUAAUACGGAGGAUCCGAGCGUUAUCCGGAUUUAUUGGGUUUAAAGGGAGCGUAGGCGGGUUGUUAAGUCAGUUGUGAAAGUUUGCGGCUCAACCGUAAAAUUGCAGUUGAUACUGGCGACCUUGAGUGCAACAGAGGUAGGCGGAAUUCGUGGUGUAGCGGUGAAAUGCUUAGAUAUCACGAAGAACUCCGAUUGCGAAGGCAGCUUACUGGAUUGUAACUGACGCUGAUGCUCGAAAGUGUGGGUAUCAAACAGGAUUAGAUACCCUGGUAGUCCACACAGUAAACGAUGAAUACUCCCUGUUGGCGAUAUUCAGUCCAGCGGCCCAAGCGAAA
rnacentral:rRNA from 1 species